rnacentral:misc_RNA from 1 species
ACUUCACAGUGACAGAUGGAUCUGUAUGCACUUCCUGUAAUGUGCUUAUGAUAUAAUUGUUUAUGCAUCUAAGUUUCUAACUUGCCUUGAUAAUUUAGCCAUUAAAUACAUUAGACAAAUUCUUUACAUCAAAGCAUCAUGGUUUGCAAUACCUUAGGUGUAAGUGUUGAACAAAAACUGACACCAUUGGAAGUAAUUGUUAUACAUGUCUACAUGAGGGCACAUAUCUACAGCAUCCUUGUCUGUUCUGAAAAUUAAUUAGAAAUACAACUAAUUUUAUGGACUGGGCUAGGUUGCUCAAUCAAUAGUUGAAUUCCUGCAUGCAGCUGGUACUUGACAAUUUGCUCUUACCAUACUAAGACUAUGUUUCAGAUUUAUCCGUUGAAGGAUAUGAUAUAUCUAAAUGGUAAAUUUUGUGGGUAAAUUGCAUCAACCGUCCCUGAACUUAAGGGCGUGUUUCAUUUUCGUCCCUAAACUUAAAUUUGUUACAAUAAAAUCACUCAAUUUUAAUUUAAUUUUAGAAAAGUUUUCUAACCUGCAAUAGCAGGUUUUCAAGUUGAAAAAGGUAAAAUUACCCUUUUGCCCCUCUCAAAAAUAAAAUUAGUAUUUUAUCUCUUUUUUCAUUCUCUUUCUCUCUCACCUUUAUAAUCGAAUUAAUUAAUAAUUAUUUACAAUAAAAUUAUUUUAUUUUAUUUGUAAAUACAAUUAUUAAUUAUAUACCAUUAUUAAUUAUUAUUAGUAUUAUUAAAUAUAUAACAACUCAAAAAUUCAAACAAAUAUUAUUUUAACAUUAAUUUAAAAAGAAAGGAAGGAAUAAAACCACCUAGGCAGGGCAAAAUAGUAAUUUAUCUUCUUUUACAAAAUUAAAGUUAAAAGUGAUUUUAUUAUAACAAAUUGAAGUUUAUGGAUGAAAGUGAAACACGGGCAAAGUUCAGGAAAGGACUAUAAAAAUUACCCCUAGUUGGUAACUGUCUUUAUAUAUACUUCCCCUGUACUAGAGUUAUACCCCUCAAAUCAUAAAGUAUAGCUCCUUUGGAGGAACAUUUUGAACUAAAUAUUUAAAAAUAAAAGAGAGAGAGAGAGACUCCAGGAUUUGAUUUCUUUGUUUCUGGUACGUUGCUUCAAGACAUGAAAAAUAUAAUUUAUAGAAUACCAUUAUUACCCGGUUGUUCCUGGAAAUUGCUGAGCAGAUCUUCAUAGUGAACUUAACAUUUAACUUAGAAAAUUUAUUUGAUAAGAAAAUUAUUAAAGCAGCAUCCCUUCUCUCCCUAAGUCAGUCCUAUGAUACUAAAAUUCCUUUCAAGAAAGACCGCCACUUAAAAACUACAAGUCAAACAAAAUGGGCUAUUUAUCUGCUACAUUCUGUAGAGCAAAAGUGGAUUAAAACUUUUCUUCUUCAAUGAAUUAUCUCUAGUGCAAGAAAUAGCUUCACAGCACAAAAGUUUCCCACCACCAUUGUAUUUCCAAUCAUUAACCUAAUUCCCAUCUAAUUCCUCAGUUGGUUAACCAGUCCAACCAUUCUGAUUUUGAUCACAAGAACAUUAUUCAAAUUCCUCAACAUAAAGCAGGAGAGUCAAAUUACAAUAUCAAUAACACUGUAAGCACCAAUCCAAACAGGAACCAGACAUAGAAUUCUAAAUUCCACAGAAAUGAAGCACAGGGAAUUUCAAGGAAAGGGGGAAAAAAAGGUGCAUGAAGACGUUACCGUUAUUAUUCUUCUUAGCCAUGGCUCUGAUAACCAACGAAUGAUACCCAUAGCAGGAAGAAGAAGAAUAAGAGAGCUUCCCCCCCAAAACCCUGAUCUCGAAUACCCCAACUUUUCCAAAAUUCCAGGAAUUUGAUUUCACGGGAAUCAUUGAAUAGUUCCUGACCCAAAAGGGGCUAUGAGUUGAAUUCUUGACAUGCAGUGCCCAAGGAUCCAUGCCUCCAAAAUUAAAAGGAAAAGGAAAAAAGAUUAGAACUUGCCAGGAAAAUGAAUAGAAAAGAAUGAGUGAGCGGAGGAAUUUUC